UGCUUUGAUGAAGCAACUGUGAUGUUCGUUGAAUUGUCGAUUGUUUGAGUUUAAAGGAAUUAUAUGUCGACAUACAAUAGUGGUGUUGAUUCGUAAACAAAUUUUUCAUGUAACAGACAAGUACAUUUUAAGGCGAUGGAGGAAAAUUAAACAAUUGCAAACCAAGGUUAAGAUAAGUUAUAAUAGUUGGAGCACCAAUGAUGAAGGAAAACGAUUUGAUCAAUUGUGUAAUUAUCUCUAACUAGCAGAUUUGGCAUCAGGUAAGAGGAUGAUUGUAAUAUGGUGAUACAAAUGAUCAAUGAUAUGAAGAACAAAUUGAUGUUGCAGGAAAGUGUUGGCGAGAAUGGUAAAAGACUAAACAACUCGUCUAAUAGUACAAUGAAUCGUGAGGUUUGAUGGUAGGAGUCAUAACGCGAUGUGUCAAUUGGUAUUUUAAGUCCUCUAACACCACCACCGUUGACUAUAGUGAGCACCACUCGCAGUAGUCCAUAACAGAAAAAUUACAGCUUUGGUGGGUUAGGUUGCAGCAUGUACCCUCUUCUAGUAGAUCGACAGGAGUCCAUAAAGGAACCAAGAAAGGGGGAGAAUCUGUGACCAAGCUAGUGGUAAAAUCGUUUUUUUUUUUUAGAUUAAAAGUGCAUGGGAGACUCAGAGGCAGAUGCUACAAUCCUUGUCCUGAAAGAAAAGCAGAUGCCCAGGAAAGUUGGUGAAAGGUGCUAUCUUGAGGGACAUCUGUGCUGGUUUUGAGGAACCAACUGAGCCAGCUGUUUGUUUGAGUGGUGAUGUAGAGAGACAAACGAGUGCUUGGAUAAUAGUGGGGGUUGUUGGCAAGAUAAAGGAGCCAACAUCACAGCCUGCAAGUUAUGGAUGUAACCAUUUGGCUAGGCAGGUUAUUGUUUUGUUUCAAUUGAUUUUUUUGUUUAUUUAUUUAGCUGAGUUAUUGAGUUGUUAAUGCUUCUAACAGGGUACCUUCCGUGGGGGGUAUGUGAAUGCCCUCUAGUUGAUAGUCUACAGUUCAAAUGAGAUGGUUACAGCCACUGUGAAGUGGUACCAUUCUGGGUUUCCCGUAACUCCUUUCUCCAGCAUGCAUUGGCCAGAAAUUUUCUGUGCAAGAAAUAAAGCUGUCAUUGGUACAAUUAUAUAUUAAAUUUUUUAUUUUAUUUUUUAGUUUUGGGGGGCAUUGGUGUGGCAGAUGAGGUGGCAUCUACCACGUCAGUCAGGAUGUAUCAGUCAGUAAGUGUAGUCUUAAUGUUGGUAAUUAGAGAGUAAAGGUUGGUUAAUGUGAUAGGAAAUAAGAAUGUUUCUAAUGAAUAUUGCUUAAAGCAAUCUUUUGCCUGAAUUAGAGUUACAUACGAGUGUUGGUGUCU